AGGAAUUUGCCCCACAGAUUCCCCUGAGAUCCAGCCAGAAGAAAUGAAAUUGACGCCAGGUCUGUAGAUGUUUGGACCUGGUGACUGGCUUCUGUCAGUGCCAGCUGUCACUGCUUUCUGUUAGCUUGCUUUUUGUUUUGCAAGAAAUGGGACUGCCUUUGUUCUCUAUUUGA
ensembl:misc_RNA